UUGACAACCUCAUGGAUUUGCUGUUUGACCAUGUGGCAAAAGGACUUUGUCCCUAUCAGGAGCUCUUAAGCCAGGUGCUUUUUCCUAAAGACCUCUGUGCUCAUUAUGUUUGACAAAGGCCACAGCAAAUCUUCAGUUACCCCUCAGGAACAACAAAUAAAGCACAAACAAGGUUGCACUAGCAAGAGCCUCCUCCUGCCAUUAUGCUUGCCUUCCCCAGAAAGAGUCUCAACCUGUCCUUAUGGCAGCCUGCAUCAGCAAGAGCCUACUGCUGCCCUCAAGCCUCCCUGCAUCAGGGAACAACAAAUAGUAUAGUAUCCUGUAUAAACCAAUGUAAGAAAUAAAAAUAGUCAGGUAAGGUUUUACUACUUUAUUUUUAAAGCAUAACAUUCAUGAACACACUGCAAAAGUAUAAUCAUCCUCUACCCCACACUAGUAGGCUAUUCAUUCAUCUUCCACUACGUACUUAUUUUUGCAGCACCUGAUUACUUUGCCUAAAACUGUAUAGCAAGAGCCUCCACCUGUUUGCCAGCCACCCAGUCUUUUUUCGGAAAGACAAAUGAGCUAAACAGUUUUGCAUAAGGACUCCAAACACUGUCUCAGAUGACCUUAACGAAAAUCCCCAGGAUAAUUCACUCAUGGUGGUGCCUUUCUGUCAGCAGCAACAUACCACCAAGGACCAUUUCAGCUGAGCUGAAGGAAACAGUGGAUGUAUAAGUAUUCCACAGAGAAAUGUGUCUGUUAGUGAGAGUGGGCAAAUGGGAAUAACUUCCCUAAUUAGUACAACUCUAAAACCUGCAAUUGUCUAUUAAAAUAAACAUAUCCACAAAAUGAAUGAUGCUGCGAUUUGUACAGGUUGCACUAUAUGAUACACUUAAUGUUUAGUUCAAUAAAAUUAUUUGAUUACUCAU